rnacentral:rRNA from 1 species
GACGAACGCUGGCGGCGUGCCUAAUACAUGCAAGUUGAGCGCUGAAGGUUGGUACUUGUCCCAACUGGAUGAGCAGCGAACGGGUGAGUAACGCGUGGGGAAUCUGCCUUUGAGCGGGGGACAACAUUUGGAAACGAAUGCUAAUACCGCAUAAAAACUUUAAACACAAGUUUUAAGUUUGAAAGAUGCAAUUGCAUCACUCAAAGAUGAUCCCGCGUUGUAUUAGCUAGUUGGUGAGGUAAAGGCUCACCAAGGCGAUGAUACAUAGCCGACCUGAGAGGGUGAUCGGCCACAUUGGGACUGAGACACGGCCCAAACUCCCACGGGAGGCAGCAGUAGGGAAUCUUCGGCAAUGGACGAAAGUCUGACCGAGCAACGCCGCGUGAGUGAAGAAGGGUUUCGGAUCGUAAAACUCUGUUGGUAGAGAAGAACGUUGGUGAGAGUGGAAAGCUCAUCAAGUGACGGUAACUACCCAGAAAGGGACGGCUAACUACGUG